rnacentral:rRNA from 1 species
UUGUACCAGAUUGUUAAAGCCUGAUCUCGUCAGAUCUCAGAAGCUGAGCAAGGCCAGGUCUGGUUACUACUUGGAUGGGAGGCCGCUGGGAAUAUCACACACAGU